rnacentral:rRNA from 1 species
UAGGGAAUCUUCGGCAAUGGACGAAAGUCUGACCGAGCAACGCCGCGUGAGUGAAGAAGGUUUUCGGAUCGUAAAACUCUGUUGUUAGAGAAGAACAAGGACGUUAGUAACUGAACGUCCCCUGACGGUAUCUAACCAGAAAGCCACGGCUAACUACGUGCCAGCAGCCGCGGUAAUACGUAGGUGGCAAGCGUUGUCCGGAUUUAUUGGGCGUAAAGCGAGCGCAGGCGGUUUCUUAAGUCUGAUGUGAAAGCCCCCGGCUCAACCGGGGAGGGUCAUUGGAAACUGGGAGACUUGAGUGCAGAAGAGGAGAGUGGAAUUCCAUGUGUAGCGGUGAAAUGCGUAGAUAUAUGGAGGAACACCAGUGGCGAAGUCGGCUCUCUGGUCUGUAACUGACGCUGAGGCUCGAAAGCGUAGGGAGCAAACAGG